GCCUCCUUAGCUCAGUUGGUAGAGCAGCUCAUUCGUAAUGAGCAGGUCGCCGGUCCGAGUCCGGUGGGAGGCU
rnacentral:tRNA from 1 species